CAAAGGGGAGAGAGGAUGCGGCGACCACCCUCCCACCGCUCCCGGGGGUGGGCGGGGGGAGGCCGGCGGGGUCCCGCCCCGGUCCCGCCCCUCGCGGCGCGGUGCAUGCCGGGACGUGUAGUCCUGGAGGCGGCAUUCCCGCCGCCCGGAGGCGUGGCGGGCUCUCCGCGUUGCCAGGUUGGGCUGCGGCGCGGGGCGGCUGGCGUGAACGGCCGGCGCUCGGGAGCCGCAGGGGUUGCGCAGGUGGUUCCUCUGGGAGCCCUCCCCGGGAAGGCAGGACGAGUGGAACUAUUGGGGCUCCGCAGUGUGGGGGGCAGCGCCGGCGGCUCUCCUGGGAGCGGCGGCGUCCUGAUGCGGGCGCCCCGCGGGGAGCGCGCCCUGGAGGAGUCCCUGGAGCGGUACCAGAGGCGCCUCCGAGAACGUGCUACUGAAAGCAUCCAUCAACUGAAAUAUGCCUUGGCAAAGGGUGAGGAUGACAUUGGAUUUGACCAGUCCUCUGUGGACGAGGGCACUGAUGAUGCGGAUGGGGAAAAUGAUGACUGUGGGAAUGCGGCCAGGCAGGAACUGCAGCACAGUCAUGCAGUUAAUCAACUUAAAAUUUUGCUGCAACAUCAAGAGAGAAUGGAAAGUGAAGUCUCUCCAUCAAGAAGGAAGUCAUCAUUCUGUAAACCCCCAGAAGCUGUACCUGGAGACUCACCAGCCCUUUCUGAUCUCAUUCCUAUAAUCAAUGAUCAAUCACAGUACAUUAACCAUUUGGAAACAGAAGUGAAGUUUUGCAAGGAGGAGUUGUCUGGGAUGAAAGAUCGAGUACAAGCAGUUGUACUUGAAAAUGAGGAACUCCAUCAGAAACUGAAAUUCUUAACUGCAGAAUACACAUUGAAAGAACAAACUCUUCUAGAUGCCUCGGCAGAUACUCAGAACUCCUGGCCUGGAGGUGGUAAAGACUUUAGCAUGCAUCACCCUGUCACCUCAUCACCAGCACGUAACAAAGAUCAGGCUUUUGUUACAGCAGCUGCUGAAGGCAUAGAAAAAUGGCCUGUAGAACUGGAGAAUCUGAAACUUCUUUAUCAAGAAAAAGUCAAUAUCCUUGAUGCUCAAAUACAGUCUCUAAGAAAAGACCUUUCAGAAUCUCAGAAGACAUGCAAAGAUUUGGAAGGAAGGCUGAAACAGCAGAAGUCACUUGUUUCAGCUGCAAAUUGUAGUCGGGUUGGUGGAAUGUGCCUGAAAUGUGCACAACACGAGGCAGUUCUUGCACAGACUCAUUGUAAUGUUCAUGUGCAGACCAUCGAAAGGCUAACAAAGGAAAGAGAUGACUUGAUGGAUGCACUUGUUUCACUGCGACAAAACAUGAAAGAGAUGCAGCAAAGAGAAUCUGAUGCUUGUAAGCAAGUUGAACAUGCUGUGCAAAUGGCAGAAGAGGCCAAUUUGGAAAAAAUAAAGGCUCUAGUCCACUGUGAGCAACUGAAAAGUGAGGUGGAACGGCAGAAGAAUUGUCUUGAAAGGGAGCUGGCUGCCCAGCUAAAUGAGAGGGCUAAUGAAAAAGAAGCAGUGCGGGAAGAAAUGAAGAAAGAAAGGGAGGACUUGGCAGCAAUGGUGACAGCCUUGUCUGAGAAUGUGGCCAUUUUGGAGGCUCAAAUAAAGAAAACUACAAGUGAAAAGAACUCUCUAGCUAACCAGUUAGAACAAUCCCAGGAUCAGCUUGCAUCUCAUGAAAUGGAGAUGAAUAAGGUGUGUGGAGAAAUGCGCUAUCAGUUGAAUCAAACCAAAAUGAAGAAGGAUGAGGCAGAAAAGGAGCUCAGAGAGUACAGAACAAAAACUAUAAGGGAGCUUGAAAUUAAGGACCAGAAAAUAGAAAAACUGGGAUUAGAGCUGAAUGGAAGCAAACAGCGUUUGGAACAAGCCCAGCAGGAUGUGACAGGAGCCAGAGAGGAGUGCCUAAAACUGGCAGAACUGCUGAGUAAAUCUGAACACCAACUGCACCUCACCAGAUUGGAGAAAGAGAGCAUUCAGCACAGCAUUAGCAAUGAAGCAAAGGCCCGAGCCCUUCAGGCCCAGCAAAGAGAGCAGGAGCUGACACAGAAGAUGCAGCAAAUGGAGGCCCAGCAUGAGAAAACUGUAGAAGAACUGGAUUCAUUGCUGACUUCCCAGAAUACAUUCAUAGCAAAAUUGAAGGAAGAAUGUUGUAUGUUGGCAAGGAAGUUGGAACAAAUGUCAGAAAAAUACAGGUAUUACACAUCAUAUCAAUGUAAUAUAUGCCCUUUAAGCAGUGGCCCUUUAAGUGGCUGAAGCUGGGAGAUGAAUCCCAUCCAGAGUGUUUGGGGAAGAAAUGAGAAACUUGCUGAACUGUAGGCAGUCUUCCCUUGCAAAUGUUGUGAUGGGUACUUGAGAGAGAAGAAAACAGAAUUUUUCUUCUGAAAAAGCAGAGCUCUUCUGCUAAAGUAAUGCAAAAUCUAAAUAGAUUCAAAUCAUAUUAUUAUUCCAGCAAUAAAAAUGCACACAGACUUUGUUGCUAGAGCUCACAGUCACAGACUAGUAACUGUAAAGGAUGAAGGAAAGACAGAAAACAUACUGUGAAAACACAUUAUUCUCUGAAAAUAAAUACUAGAGAUUGCCAAGUGUUUCUCCACCUAGCAGCAUUAGCUGACUAUGUCAGGAACCUGAAAAAGGGAAAAGGAGCCCUCUUGCAUCUCCAGAAAGUGGUAUAUUUUACACAAGAAACUGUAAGGAAGAAUACAUGAAAGUCGUUCUGAGAAGUGGCCUAAAAUAGCUUGAACUUGCCUUCAUUGGAGCUGGAGCUGCUGCAGUCAGUAACAAGAAUGGAGAAAUGGAUCUGAAGUCAACCAGCUUAGUCAGGAAAAAGAGUAUCUUCAUGGCAGAUUGGAGAAGAUGCAGAAACGGAAUGAUGAAUUGGACCAACAAUGUA